rnacentral:rRNA from 1 species
CGGCCGCGUCGACAUGAACGCUGGCGGCGUGCCUAAUACAUGCAAGUCGAGCGAACAGACGAGGAGCUUGCUCCUCUGACGUUAGCGGCGGACGGGUGAGUAACACGUGGAUAACCUACCUAUAAGACUGGGAUAACUUCGGGAAACCGGAGCUAAUACCGGAUAAUAUAUUGAACCGCAUGGUUCAAUAGUGAAAGACGGUUUUGCUGUCACUUAUAGAUGGAUCCGCGCCGCAUUAGCUAGUAGGUGAGGUAAUGGCUCACCUAGGCGACGAU